UACGUAGGGAGCGAGCGUUGUCCGGAAUCACUGGGCGUAAAGGGCGCGUAGGCGGCUUGGUAAGCGUGCGGUGAAAGCCCGGGGCUCAACCCCGGGUCGGCCGUGCGAACUGCUGGGCUGGAGCACUGUAGAGGCAGGUGGAAUUCCGGGUGUAGCGGUGGAAUGCGUAGAUAUUGGGAGGAACACCAGUGGCGAAGGCGGCUCACUGGACCGGUUCUGACGCUGAGGCGCGAAAGCGUGGGGAGCAAACAGG
rnacentral:rRNA from 1 species